rnacentral:rRNA from 1 species
GUGAGGAAUAUUGCGCAAUGGAGGCAACUCUGACGCAGCCAUGCCGCGUGCAGGAAGAAGGCGCUACGCGUUGUAAACUGCUUUUAACCGGGAAGAAACCCCAGGACGUGUCCUGGGUUGACGGUACCGGAGGAAUAAGCACCGGCUAACUUCGUGCCAGCAGCCGCGGUAAUACGAAGGGUGCAAGCGUUAUCCGGCUUCAUUGGGUUUAAAGGGUGCGUAGGCGGAGCGUUAAGUCAGUGGUGAAAUCCUGCAGCUUAACUGUAGACUUGCCAUUGAUACUGGCGCGCUUGAGUGCGCUUGAAGUGGGCGGAAUGUGCCGUGUAGCGGUGAAAUGCUUAGAUAUGGCACAGAACACCAAUUGCGAAGGCAGCUCACUAAGGCGAUACUGACGCUGAGGCACGAAAGCGUGGGGAUCGAACAGGAUUAGAUACCCGGGUAGUCC